rnacentral:rRNA from 1 species
UACGUAGGGGGGCUAGCGUUGUCCGGAAUCAUUGGGCGUAAAGAGCGUGUAGGCGGCCCGGUAAGUCCGCUGUAAAAGUCAAAGGCUCAACCUCUGAAUGUCAGUGGAUACUGCCGGGCUAGAGUCCGGAAGAGGCGAGUGGAACUCCUGGUGUAGCGGUGGAAUGCGCAGAUAUCAGGAAGAACACCGACGGCGAAGGCAGCUCGCUGGGACGGUACUGACGCUGAGGCGCGAAAGCGUGGGGAGCGAACGGG